rnacentral:misc_RNA from 1 species
GAUGAAGAACGCAGCGAAAUGCGAUACGUAAUGUGAAUUGCAGAUUUCAGUGAAUCAUCGAAUCUUUGAACGCACAUUGCGCCCGCCAGCAUUCUGGCGGGCAUGCCUGUUCGAGCGUCAUUUCAACCCUCAAGCUCUGCUUGGUGUUGGGGCCCUACGGUUGACGUAGGCCCUUAAAGGUAGUGGCGGACCCUCUCGGAGCCUCCUUUGCGUAGUAACUAACGUCUCGCAUUGGGAUUCGGAGGGACUCUUGCCGUAAAACCCCCAAAUUUUCUAAUGGUUGACCUCGGAUCAGGUAGGAAUACCCGCUGAACUUAAGCAUAUCAAUAAGCGGAGGA